CAGCUUUCCUAGAUCAAACCCAUGAAUUCCUCUGAGCAUCUACCCUCAUCCCAAGUAUCUGCAGUCACACAUAUGUAGAUUCUGGACUGUAGAAGACAGGUUUAGCAUGACUUUAAGAUGAUUUCUUCUGAAUUUUUUGAUUUAUUUUUCUACUACCAGGUCUGACAGCUGUGUCACGGUGACACGGGGGGCAUCGUGGAACCAAACGAACCCUGAGACAUUUCAGAAUCCCACUUGUGUUGGGGUCUCAUGGAACCAAAGGACUGCUGGGACACUUGGGGAACUCACGAAAUCAAGUGGCCGUCGUGACACUGCCUUGCAUCAUAGAAGCAAAUAUUCCC